rnacentral:rRNA from 1 species
CCUACGGGAGGCAGCAGUAGGGAAUAUUGCUCAAUGGGGGAAACCCUGAAGCAGCAACGCCGCGUGGAGGAUGAAGGUUUUCGGAUUGUAAACUCCUUUUGUUAGAGAAGAUAAUGACGGUAUCUAACGAAUAAGCACCGGCUAACUCCGUGCCAGCAGCCGCGGUAAUACGGAGGGUGCAAGCGUUACUCGGAAUCACUGGGCGUAAAGAGGGCGUAGGCGGGAUAGCAAGUCAGAUGUGAAAUCCUAUGGCUUAACCAUAGAACUGCAUUGGAAACUGUUAUUCUAGAGUAUGGGAGAGGUAGGUGGAAUUGUUGGGGUAGGGGUAAAAUCCGUAGAGAUCAAGAGGAAUACUCAGUGCGAAGGCGACCUGCUAGAACAUAACUGACGCUGAUGCGCGAAAGCGUGGGGAGCAAACAGGAUUAGAUCCCCUGGUAGUC